rnacentral:rRNA from 1 species
UACGUAGGGUGCGAGCGUUAAUCGGAUUUACUGGGCGUAAAGCGUGCGCAGGCGGCCCGUUAAGACAGGUGUGAAAUCCCUGGGCUCAACCUAGGAAUUGCGCUGGUGACUGCAGGGCUAGAGUACGGUAGAGGGGGGUGGAAUUCCUGGUGUAGCAGUGAAAUGCGUAGAGAUCAGGAGGAACACCGAUGGCGAAGGCAGCCCCCUGGGCCUGUACUGACGCUCAUGCACGAAAGCGUGGGGAGCAAACAGG